AGAGAGAGAGACACACAGAGACUCACAGAGACACACAGAGAGACACACAGAGAGAGACACACAGAGAGACACACAGAGACAGAGACACAGGGAGAGACCGUACAGCUGCAUCCACACGGGCUGUAGCAAAGCCUUUAGCAACUCUAGUGAUCGCGCUAAGCACCAGAGGACUCACCACGACACGAAGCCGUAUGCCUGUCAAGUCCCUGGCUGCUCGAAGCGGUACACAGACCCCAGCUCACUCCGGAAGCACAUCAAGACUCACGCGGUGUCUGGCACUACAACUACCACCACCACCACCACCACCUUCAUCAGCAGCAGCAGCAGUCACUCACGCAAGAAGCUCAGGGCAACAACAACAACAUCAUCAUCAUCAGCUGCUGCUGCUGAUGAUGAUGCUGAUGACUGCGAUCCGUUGAUGAGCUGCCUCACCAUCCACACCCUGCAUCGCCGAAACUCCCCCCGUUCGGUGAUGGACUCGUCCAGUAGGCAGUGUGGAGGUGCGGAGUGGACUCUACCAUCUCAUCUACACGGGGGGGGUUACACACACAGACACACACAGAGACACAC